AUGGUUAAGUGACUAAGCGUACACGGUGGAUGCCUUGGCAGUCAGAGGCGAUGAAGGACGUAUUAACUUGCGAUAAGCCCAGAUUAGGUAGUAAAAACCAUUUGAGUCUGGGAUUUCCGAAUGGGGAAACCCACUUGCAUAAGCAAGUAUCCUGUUGUGAAUACAUAGCAGCAGGAGGCGAACCGGGGGAACUGAAACAUCUAAGUACCCCGAGGAAAAGAAAUCAACCGAGAUUCCGAAAGUAGCGGCGAGCGAAAUUGGACUAGCCCUUAAGCUUUAUAUGCGUUAGACGAACGGUCUGGAAAGUCCGGCGAUACAGGGUGAUAGCCCCGUAGUUGACAACGCACAUUCAGUGAAAUCGAGUAGGGCGGGACACGUGAUAUCCUGUCUGAAUAWKGGGGGACCAUCCUCCAAGGCUAAACUGACAUACUGACUGACCGAUAGUGAACCAGUA
rnacentral:rRNA from 1 species